AUUGAACGCUGGCGGCGUGCCUAACACAUGCAAGUCGAGCGGCAGCGCGGGAGCAAUCCUGGCGGCGAGCGGCGGACGGGUGAGUAACGCUUGGGAAUCUGCCUGUUAGUGGGGGACAACCCGGGGAAACGUCGGGCUAAUACCGCAUACGCACUACGGUGGAAAGCCGGGGACCGCAAGGCCUGGCGCUAACAGAUGAGCCCAAGUCGGAUUAGCUAGUUGGUAGGGUAACGGCCUACCAAGGCGACGAUCCGUAACUGGUCUGAGAGGACGACCAGUCACACCGGAACUGAGACACGGUCCGGACUCCUACGGGAGGCAGCAGUGGGGAAUAUUGGACAAUGGGGGAAACCCUGAUCCAGCGACGCCGCGUGGGUGAAGAAGGCCUGCGGGUUGUAAAGCCCUUUCAGUGGGGAAGAAAAGCCUCGACCUAAUACGUUGGGGUCUUGACGUAACCCAUAGAAGAAGCACCGGCUAACUCUGUGCCAGCAGCCGCCGCGGUAAC
rnacentral:rRNA from 1 species